rnacentral:rRNA from 1 species
CCUACGGGUGGCAGCAGUGAGGAAUAUUGGUCAAUGGACGAGAGUCUGAACCAGCCAAGUAGCGUGAAGGAUGACUGCCCUAUGGGUUGUAAACUUCUUUUAUAUGGGAAUAAAACGUUCCACGUGUGGGAUUUUGUAUGUACCAUAUGAAUAAGGAUCGGCUAACUCCGUGCCAGCAGCCGCGGUAAUACGGAGGAUCCGAGCGUUAUCCGGAUUUAUUGGGUUUAAAGGGAGCGUAGGUGGAUUGUUAAGUCAGCUGUGAAAGUUUGCGGCUCAACCGUAAAAUUGCAGUUGAAACUGGCAGUCUUGAGUACAGUAGAGGUGGGCGGAAUUCGUGGUGUAGCGGUGAAAUGCUUAGAUAUCACGAAGAACUCCGAUUGCGAAGGCAGUUCACUGGACUGCAACUGACACUGAGGCUCGAAAGUGUGGGUAUCAAACAGGAUUAGAUACCCUAGUAGUC